rnacentral:lncRNA from 1 species
CUUACUUGAAUAUGGAGUUGUACGUUGCCUACAAUUAUAGGACGAAGGAGCUGGCCGAUUAUAUGACACUGCUUCAAGUAACAUAUUCAUGUGAUUAUUUAAUUAAUUGUACAAAAUAUCAUAUUCAACGUUAUUUACCGAUUAGUAUAUAUUUAUGCAGGCAUAAAUCUUCUAGCACUUUCCGAGUAUUGGUGGUUGGGAUUAUGAGUCUGGGUACGAGCUCUUAUACAUGAACCACCUUAGGUGGCAUACACCCUUUUACACCCACACACAUUUGUGACAUGUGGCAAAAACAUUGAAAGAAGAGAUAAAAAGAGGUGAUAAUGUGAUGUGAAAUGAUUAAAAUACCCCUGACACAUGAGGUGUACAUAAGAGGUGUAUCAAAAAAGGAUGUCUACCUAUCUUUUUCCUAUAUAUAAUUGAAAUGAUUAUGCUUUGUUUUAAGCAUACUGUGCUUAUCAAUAUAUACGGGUCGAAGAUAUGAGAUGAAAGGAAUUUAUAUUGGUCUUCGUAAACUUUAUUUUCUAUUUUUAUCUUACA